rnacentral:rRNA from 1 species
GAUGAACGCUGGCGGCGUGCCUAAUACAUGCAAGUCGAGCGAACAGACGAGGAGCUUGCUCCUCUGACGUUAGCGGCGGACGGGUGAGUAACACGUGGAUAACCUACCUAUAAGACUGGGAUAACUUCGGGAAACCGGAGCUAAUACCGGAUAAUAUAUUGAACCGCAUGGUUCAAUAGUGAAAGACGGUUUUGCUGUCACUUAUAGAUGGAUCCGCGCCGCAUUAGCUAGUUGGUAAGGUAACGGCUUACCAAGGCAACGAUGCGUAGCCGACCUGAGAGGGUGAUCGGCCAAACUGGAACUGAGACACGGUCCAGCCUCCUACGGGAGGCAGCAGUAGGGAAUCUUCCGCAAUGGGCGAAAGCCUGACGGAGCAACGCCGCGUGAGUGAUGAAGGUCUUCGGAUCGUAAAACUCUGUUAUUAGGGAAGAACAAAUGUGUAAGUAACUAUGCACGUCUUGACGGUACCUAAUCAGAAAGCCACGGCUAACUACGUG